GUGGGUUAUGUGAGAAAAUUGGUCAAUUCAUUGACCAUCACCUAAAAAUGCUUGUCAACACUCUACUAUCCUUCAUACAGGAUACAACGGCAGCGCUGAAUAGACUUAAUAACAUGCAAGUUGAAGACAACAUGAUUCUAGUUACAGCUGAUGUUGAAGCGCUAUAUUCGAACAUUAAGCAUGAUGAUGGUCUAAGAGCAGUGGCUGAAUACCUGAAAGAUGGGUAAGGAAGUCACAUUCUUGGACCUAAAAAUACAAAUAAAAGAAAAUGGGACAUUAGAAACUGAUGUCCAUAGGAAAGAAACUGCGGUCAAUGCACUGCUGCAUGCUGAAUCAUCCCAUCUAAAAUCCACCAUAGAUGGAAUACCCAUUGGGCAAUUCGCACGGAUAAAGAGGAUCUGCUCUAAUGAGAAAACUUACGUGACAGUGUCGAGUGAUUGAUGGCUGGAGUC